rnacentral:lncRNA from 1 species
CUGCCACCGCCUGAACCAAUUGCUCAGGAGGGAUCCGGGAAAGCCCUGCGCCUUCGUCUCCCGAAGUCGGACCCCGCGUGGGGUUUUGAGGACUGCUUCCCCCGUUCCCCUUAGAUCCAUCAACGUUUCUUUGAGACCUAGUCCUUGGCAUGAUUCGCAAAGAAGAAAUACGUGUUCCCACAGACGGCGCCAAUUGAUGCGACUGUCAAAAAUCUGGUCCGAGCAGAGCUGAUCGGGGAUAGUUGGGAACGAUGUCUGAUGAAUGAGCUAUGAACCCUGCGAAGGAAGUGGAACAGCGGGACUAAAGUCCCCGGGAUAACUCCGAUGAUUAAAUUAGUAAAGUUUUCUGAGCAGAGUAAUGAGCACGAGUGCUGUUUUUCACGUACCUUGUGUAGUCCUUUAGUGCUAUAUUUAUAGGCUUGACCGGGUAGUAGUUUCCUUAUUGGAGUCAAAGUCCCUUAGGGUUCGAAGUCUUAUUAGGGUUUGGCAUGACGGCCCCUAAUAGUUCAGAGGCGGCGGCCCACGAGACCUACUAUAGGGAGAGGCGGCUGUUACGGCCGAGCUGGCCCGCUUAUGCCGAUCUGCAGCGAGCAACACACAAGGCCUAUAUUGCUGACCUGAAGCGUGCGGCCUGCCGAGCUGACACGUGUCAUGCGUGUAUUUGCCCCACUACAGUUUAAUAAUAUUUUUUAAAAAAAAUAGGAUUUUCGUCUUGUAAGAUAGACCUUACCCAUCUCUCCUGUUGUUUCUAACAAAUACAUGCGCCCCAUUAUUUCGUUAAGUUGAUGGAUUGUAAAAACUAGGGGAAAGUAAUGGCGGCUGUUUGGAGUAGUGAAUCAGGGAAAGGUGGCGGGGACUGGGGAUUCCAAUGACUAAAAUAGUGCGGAAAAUAUCAUUGAAGCAGUCUUUCCAUAUACCGGUGGGAAUUUUGUCCCAUUCGAGCUGAAUGUAUUAACUGCAUUUCCCUGCUUCACUAAAAUGUUAGAACAAAAUUAUCAUCAUAUCGACACAUAGAUAAAACCAAGUUAUGCAUGGUAAGGGGCUAAUUCCUUCGAUUAUUGCUCAAAAAAUAAAAAAUGGGACACUUGUGGUUCUGACAGGAGUCCGGUAUAAAUAUAUACACAGCCCGGCACCUGACACCAAAAAUUUUUUUUUUUUAUAAAAAACACAUGCAGCCCGGCACCUGACAAAGUCUGAAAAGUUGGCUGCCGGGCACUCUCUGCCCGGUAGCCAGUCAAAUUGUAAAAAAAAAAAUUCGAAGGGCUUCAAUGCAAUUCAGACAAAGUAGCUCACCUGACAAAGACUGCAAAAGCUGUGCCCGACAGCCAGUCAAAUUGUUAAAAAAAAAAAAAAUUCGGCCACAUACUGUUUAUAAGAUGAAUGCCGAGUAGAUGAGCCAUAUUAUUGGUUCCUACACGAUAAACAAUGUCGAGUAUGCUGUCAAAGCUGUUGGAGCUUUAAUUAUACCACCAUUAUUGGAGCUUGUUAGAGGAAAGAUGACCCAGGUUAGAGCAAAGGGUAGCUGUUAGAGUACUAGGACAUUUGGCAAGCUAUGAAACGACCUUCAAAGCUAUAGCGCUUUAUGAAGAAGAAGUGGUUAGAUUAGCCAUGCGUUUGGCUUCUACCUGUGUGAAAAGCUGGCUGCCGGCUUGUUUUAAAAAAAAAUGCGGCAGAAGAAUGCAUUUCUGACAAUAUUCUUCAAUCCACGGAAUUAAAGUGGAGGUAAAAAUUAAACAUUGGAUACAUUUUUAUGGUGGAAAGUUCACUUUCCUGCGCACAAUAAGCAGAAGUAAAACAGAUGUGGAGAUGCAUAAAGAAGUAUAUUGGACACUCAAAAAAUCAAAUUAUGCAUGGAUGAAAAAUAUUAUGUAUAUUAAAAUUAUAAUAAAAGGAUGUUUAAAAAUUUAUUCAUUAUUUAAUGUUCAACACUUAUAUUUGGUAAAUUAAAAUAAUUAAUUAAAUAUUCUAUUAUAUUAUAAGUAACUAUAUAUCGUUAAGUCGAUUGAAUAAUAUGUAAGCAGUUAUUUUUUUUGGCAUUUGAAGUAGUUGUCUAUUAAGUUUUAAUUGAAAUAAAGAUUUUAUAAUUAUUUCAAAUUAUGCAAUAAAAAAAUCACUGUAAGAUAAAGAUAAAUGUGAGAUGAAAAAAUAAAUGUAAGAUGAACAAAUUGUAUGAUUCAAAUAUUUGAUUUAAUAUGCAAGAAAGACAAGAAGAAAUGGCAAGAAGUUUUUUAAAAAUUAAUGUGAGUUCUUUAUAUUGGUAAUCACCUUUAUUUGUUAUUUUAAUCAUAAUACCUGAUUAUAACCGAUUAUAAUACCUAAUACUAUUUACAACUAAAGUUACUAUAUACGUAAACUAAAAUUUUCUAUUUCACUAAAUUUUCUUUUAUAUAUGAUGCACGUUUCAUCAUUUGUUAAAACAAAUUAAAUGAUAAAACAAAUGACAAACAAAUGAUAAAUUUUAACAAAUAAAUAUUUUUUGAAACCUAAACCCCAAACCCCAAACCCUAAAGAAGAAUGCAUUUCUGAAACCUAAACCCUAAAACCCUAAACCCUAAACCCUAAACCCUAAAAGCCUAAACCCUAAACCGUAAACUCUAAACCCUGAACCCUAAACCCUAAACCUGAACCCUAAACCCUAGACUAUACACAGCGUAGAAGUACAAAAUAAUGUAACCUUAAAGAAGGAACCCUAAACCCUAAACCCUAAAGAAGAAUGCAUUUCUAAAACCUAAACCCAAAAACCCUAAAAACAUCCACGGAAUUAAAGCGGAGAGAAGAAUUAAACAUAGGUUACAUUUGUAUGGUGGAAAGUUCACUUUUCUGCGCACAAUAAGCAGGAGCAAUGCAAAUGUGGAGACGCACAGAGAAGUAUAUUGGGCAAUGGAAAAAAGCUGAUUAUGUAUAUAUGAAAAAUAGUAUAUAUUUGAAAAUUACAAUAAAAGUCCUCUUAAAAAUUUAUUCAUUAUCUAAUGUUCAAUACUUAUAUUUGGUAAAUUUAAAUAGUUAAUUAAAUAUUCUAUUAUAAUAUAAGUAACUAUAUAGCGUUAAGUCGAUUGAAUAAUAUGUAAGCAGUUAUUUUUUUGGGCAUUUCAAGUAGUUGUCUAUUAAGUUUCACUUGAAAUAAAGAUUUUAUAAUUAUUUGAGAUUAUGCAAUAAAAAAUCAACAUAAGAAGAAAAAAUGCAUAACAUGACAUUGUACAAUCGUGAAUUUAAAAAUAGCGAUAAGCAUUAUAAUAAUAAAAGAUUAAAUUAACGCUAAAUCCUCAUAUUCAAAUAUUUGAAAUUGUAAAACAUGCAAUUGAAAUGAUCAUAUCAACGGUUGGUACGCCUUUUGCCCUUGCCUUUAUCACCUGGUGUUGUAGACGGACAACAAAAUCUUUUAGGCUUUCGUCUGCAACGAUCACGAUGAGCAUAGGGUCCUACGUCAUCCUCCUCAUCCGACUCAACUGUCGUACUGCUAUCACCAUCGUGUUGAGAACGAUACGUGACAAAAUCCCCCGUCUGACCGUAUGUAGUAGUAGAUAUCGGCUGGAUCGACGCAGGUACGGUCAUAGUCUGUCCAAUACUGUAAUAAUCGGGAAGGUCUGAAAUGGAAGGGACACCACCCGUUUCGUUCAGAAAAUUGAAUAUUGGAUGUAGCUUAGCAGUAAAAGAUGAGGCCGCUGCAGUGGCAACGUAUCCAAAUGGAGGCUCGUUUGACGAGGAUGGAAAAUGUCCCCCAAAUACAGACAAAUAUGGAGAGGGCCUGGAAUAUACACCAAAAGGUGGAAACUGUGGCAAAGGCGUGGCCUCUAGAGCAAUAUGCUGUGAGUGCGGGAACGAUGUCACCUGAGGGGUAAAGGCCGAUAUAUUCUGUCCAGGUGACACAUCGUGGAUGUCUGGCAUCGGCAAAGGCACAGAUGUGGUGAAUUGAUUACUAGUCGGGUUGUAAUGCGAUUGAGUGCCCCCCUCGGUCAUUUGAAUGCCCGUCUCCUCAAUGACUUCGUCCUGCAAUCCAUGCCUAUGGCGUCGACUUCUACUAGAUGAUGGUCCACCUUGUGUAGGGACACGUCGCACGCGAGGUUGGAUAGGAAUACAUCAAAAGUUUAUGCAUUUAAUACUAUCAAAUAUCAAAUACCAGUUACUUAUUAGUGUAACCCUCUACCGGAACUGAGACAGCUCAAGUUAUUUAUGAAAAUAACCAGUAUAUGGACAAUUAGGGGCAGUGUGACCCGACUGUAAGCAGUUACUGCAUCGACGUGGUGCAUCAGGACAUCUUCUAUCCAUUUGAUUUCUGAUCCUAGCAGUUCUCAAUGGUCCGGGCAUCUUUUGUUUCAACCGAUCUCCAUUGACAUUCAGCUUUAAUUCCGCCAAGGUCCAAUAUUUUGGAUCCCAUAGCGGCUGAAAAGAACCACUGAAUGUAGCCUGAUAAGCGGGAAACGUAUGUUCAUGAGCGACAAACGUCAUUGGACUAAUACCACACCUAUAACACGCUGCCAUAGCAUGUGAAUAUGGGAAGCAUAGUUCUCUCCAUUUUCCACAUGUACAUGUGUGACUUCCAAUGUCGACAGUCUGGGCAUUACCUCCUUGUCGGCUUUGUCGAUAAGCAGUUGUGAUACAGUAAAUGCCUCUCUAGUGAUCGAACACUUGAACUGCAUGUGCCCUCCCUUUUUUUUCAUUUUUUACAUAUUGCUUCCAACAUUUUUUUGGGAGCGCGUAUACUAGAUUCCAUGCCACCUUGUGAUUUUUGACAAACAGGUCAACUGUUUGGUUGAAUGUGAACCGUAUACAUGCAGUAAUUGGAAGCAACCGAGCGUCUCUCAAUAAAUUAUUGAAACAUUCAACCAUAUUUGUGGAUAUGUGCCCCCAACGAUAUCCCCCAUCUUUGCACAGAGCCCAUUGCUCGGGUCGAACUAAUCCACCCGUUAGUCAUGUGUACGCCUCCGUAUUCAAGGAGUAAAUCAAAUUCAUGAUGUCCUCAUACUUGCGCGGCUGAUUUGCCACACCAGCAGCGUAUAUCAGGCUUUUAAGUCUACCAGACAGCAUAAAAUAUCGUCAGAAUAAGUUUAAUAUAUGUUUAAUAUGUUAGGGUGCGGUGAAAAAACAUUUAAGGGUUCGGAGACAAUUUACCCCUCAUUCUUGAAUUUUUGUGUGAAAUUGCUCCGAAUAUGAAUCAAACAGAAUCGGUGCACCCCUAAUGGCUCCUGCCACUCUUCAAGUGUACGCAUUGCGUUUAUAAUGCCGUGGUGACGAUCAGAAAUAAUGCAUAUAUUUUGCACAUCACCACACACGUGAAUGCGUAACAGUCUCAUGAACCAAGACCAACUCCGAUUAUUCUCCUCAUCAACUAGGGCAUAUGCCAAGGGAAACAUUGAAUUUUCAGCAUCAAACCCUAUGGCGACAAGAAGUUUUCCCCGAUAAGGCCCUUUUAAAAAGGUACCAUCCACGCAUAUCACCGGUUUUAGAUAGCGGAAAGCUUGGAUGGCUGGAGCAAAUGCCCAAAAUAUAUAAUCAAAAAUUAUUGCAGAGGGGGUACUUAAUGGAUGAUGAUCCCACACAACUACCGUCCCUGGAUUCGACCGUUGUAACUCCUCAAUAUAUGUCGGCAGUUGUGAUAUGGAUGUCGGCCAGUUCCCAUAUAAUAUAUCAAUGGCACGGCGUCUAGCGUACCAAGCCUUCUUAUAUGACACAUCACAAUGAAACUCUUGUUUCACCGAUACCUGAAUUUCCUUGAUUUUGUACACCGAACUAUUCAUAAUAUGGGGGAUAAUGUGCUCGGCAAUUAUGUCACUACUCAAUCCACGGUGAUCGUUACUAUAGCAAACACGGACGCAAGUAUGUGCGUCAGCAAGUGUGACAAUCAUCCACAUGUUGUGCGAGCUCCGUAAGAUUGCACGAAACUGCCAAUUACAAGGGGGGACGGAGUUACGAGCCCGACAACGAACAUACCAAGUCGUUGGCGUGCUCUCACGAACUCUGAACUCCCUGUUCUCCUUGAUGGACCACAACUUCACAGCUCGUUGGACAUGCUCCUUUGAUUAAAAAAGAUGGCUCAAUUCUAAAUCUCUGGUGUGUUUGUUCCACAUUCUUAGCUUCUCCACUCGCCCAGCAUCAAGGGGGUCAAAAUUCAAUGCAGCGUCAACACCAGCUUCAUAACGCAGUUGUGGACCAUCACUAUUUAUCCAGGGGGCACCAUGAUCCAUGUCAUCAUGGGCCAUAGAUGCGCCCUCUAGAUGCCCUGCUUGCCUGUCAGUACCAUGUUCGUGGUUCUCAUCAUCGGAACCACUAAGAUUGGGCUCCGGUUCGGAGUCCAUGUCAACAUCUACAAACUGAUCGUCAGUAGAUGGCUGUACAUCAAACAUUGGUGCCGAUUCAAUAUCCGCACCUCGAGAAUGAAUGGUUGAGGUGUGAAUUAUCGGUCGAGCACCUGUACAUGGAGGAUCAUUAUUUGUCUGCCGACCAGUACCCCUUCUUCGCCCUCUAUGCCUUUGUUCGACAUCUGUUCCAGCUAGUUGGGUCAUUUGACUCUCAAAAUGGCCGACUGGCUGGAAUAAAGAUAUAUGUUCGGAACUGCUACCGCCUCGCUCAAGAUUACCACUUAUAAUUUGUAAACCAUCGGCACCAUGUUUUUCUAAACCCAAUAGCUUCUCGACUUCCACAUAUAUUUCGGUUGCAAGUCUACUACCAGAUUGUAAGUAGUACAGACCAGCAACUCCAUUGUCAUUUACCAAAGGCAUUGCACCAAACUUGCUAUUUUGGAGACAACUCCGAUAUAUCAAACUAAUCUUAUAGCUGUUCCGAUCUAAACCCAUACUAGUGUAUAUUCUGUCUACCAAUUCAUCAUAACCCACCACUUCUGUCAAGAACAACGCAUUUUUCGGUAUAGGAGGAUCAUAUGAAAUUGACCCAUUUUUUUAUAUAAUUUUUCCUCCCCAAUAUAAUUGUAUCACCAGGCAAUUAUCACUUGACAUGUUAUACCUAUUACGGACGAGUGUUGAUAACAUUGUAAAAUCGCAUUGAUAAGCUUAUUUGAAUAAUCAAUUAAUUGAUCGAAUCAAAUAUGUAUAAUUUAUAACAAAUAAAUAAAUAAUUAUGAGUCCAUAAUUGUAACAAAUAAUAACCAAAAAUAUAACAAAUAACAACAAAAAAUGCAUUCUAAUUAAAUAAUUCAACCAUUUAUAACAAAUAAAACUAUCAUUUAAUAAAUAACAAAGUAAACCUAAUUAACCACCUUAAUUACUACAUUUAGUUAUAAAAAUUUUACCUUAUGCUAAGUCUAUCAUGCACCUACAUUUCAUAUUGGGUCAAUUAAAUAUGAAAUUCUAAUCAAAUAUCUUACUAAUAUUAAAAACCCUAUUUUAAAAUGAUUUUAUGCUAAUUACAUUAUGUUUAUGCAUUUAAUGUAUUAAAUGUAGCAGUUUUUCCAAAUACUUGAAUUAUCCCCACUAAAUAGCUAUCAUAAUCAAAACUCAAUACAUGCCUCGACAAAUAAAUCUAAGUUCAUUUAAUCGACCUCUUAAAAUUAAUUAAUUACAAAAGAGUGAGAGGUCCUAAUUUAACUAAUUAAACCACAAAACUACUUAAUCUAAUCAGAUACUAAAUAACACAAGCUAAUUAUCAACUAACUUGCACAACAAAGUGAAUUGCAUUAAACUAAUACCCCUAAUUUUGAAAUAAAGCUAACCUAAUUACAUUAUGUUUAUGCAUUUAAUGUAUUAAAUGUAGCAAUUAUUUCAAAUACUUAAAUUAUCCCCACUAAAUAGCUAUCAUAAUCAAAACUCAAUACAUGACUCGACAAAUACAUCUAAAUUCAUCUAAUCGAACCUAUUAAAUUUAAUUCAUUCAACUAAUUAAAAAGCAACUAAUUAAUCUAAUUAAAUCACAAAACUAAUUAAACUAAUCAUAUACUAAAUACCGUGGACUAAUUAUCAACUAACUUGCAUAAUAAAGUGAAUUGCAUUGAACCAAUAAUACUAAUUUCGAUAUUAAGCUAUGCUAAUGACAUCAAUUUUAUGUACUGCAUUUAUUAUAGAUUUACAUUCAUGUAAUCAAUCACUUUAAAUACAUUUAUUAAACAAAUUUAAACAACUAAUUAAUCUACUUAAACUAAUUCAAUCACUAAACUAAUUCAACUAAGCGUGUACCGUGCUUCACUAACUAAUAUUAACAAACAUACGUAAACUACAUUAGCUGUUUACAAUUGCUUCAACAAUAAAUUAAAUAUUUAAUUAAUAACAAAUUAUAACAAUAACAUAAAAUAUUUAUCAACAAUUCACUAACAUAAAAUGACAAAUUAUAGCAACUUUUAUAUAAUACAAAUCACUAACCUCUUUUGAAUCAAAAAAAUCGAUUGCCUCGGGAGCACCGUGAGUAAUGAGCCCGGCGACCUUAACAGAAGUACCGCAAUUAAUCAGCACGGCGAUUAACAAAAACACGGCACCAAGCGUCUGAUGCCAAUUCUGCAUAAGAAUAAGGUAAUUAUUAGAAACACCAACAGGACCACAAGCCAAUUCUACUGCCAAACAAAGUAAUAAUCAUUUGAUAAAUAAGGAGGACUAAGCCAACAAACACUCACGAUUUGGACCACAGGACAGUUCUUUGCCCAACUCUUCGAAAUAUCGAUUAGGGCCACAAGAUAGUAAUACGCCCAACUCUGCAAAAUGUAAAGUGAGGUGCUCGUGUGAAAGUGUGAGACACUGAGAAAUGUAAACUCCGACUGAGGGCUGAGAGAAAAGUGAGAAAUGUAAAUUCCGUAUGGGAGAAAGUGAGAGGUGCGGACGAUGAGGAAGUUCCUCGGUGCUUAUAUAGAGCAUAAGGUAAAAUCUAGCCGUCCGUUUGGACGGCUAGAUUACAAAGUUUCUUUAAAAAAAAAAAAAAUUUAUACUACCGGUAGCACACAAUUAUUGUUUCACGACCUGCUAAAGUCUAAUGGAGCAUAGUUCUUUUGUCCAAUCGUACGUAAAUUUUUCUUUUGGUUCAGCUUUUUUGAUUCACGGGAGCUGCCAGACAAUUUUUGUUUUGUCCACAAGCCUGCCAAAAGGGGCAAAUCUGAAGCAAAAAAGUGUAAAAAAUUCACGGGAGCUACUUUGUCUGAAUUGCAUUUAACCGAUGCCGAAAUUUUUUUUUAACAAUUUGACUGGCUGCCGGGUAGAGAGUGCCCGGCAGCCAGUUUUUGCAAUCUUUGUCAGGUGAGCUACUUUGUCUGAAUUGCAUUGAAGCCCUUCGAAUUUUUUUUUUUACAAUUUGACUGGCUACCGAGCAGAGAGUGCCCAGCAGCCAGCUUUUGCAGACUUUGUCAGGUGUCGGGCUGUGUGUCUUUCAUAAAAAAAAAAAUUUUUUUUGGUGUCAGGUGCUGGGCUGACACAGCCCGGCACCCAUAGAUAUAUACAGAACCCCUGUCAGAACCGCAAGUGUCCGAUUUUUUAUUUUUUUGAGCAAUAAUCGAAGGAAUUAGCCAUGGUAAGGGAAGAAGUUCAAUACAUACUGCUAAUUUUACUCCAUUACCGAGGACAACUUCACUGAUGAUCUUGCGAUUUGUAGUAGUUGCUGCGAUGGUGAACGGACCAGCAACCGUUCCUGAAGGUUAUGUGUGCAUUUUGCACAAGAUGGCGUAAUUUUGUUUGCACAUGAUGUAACUUACUUUCAACAACGUGUAAUUCUAGAAUAAAAUUUUGUGAAUUCUACACAUAUUGUUAAAAACGAGGUAUAAAAUAAGAUUUGAACUGUACAAUUUUUUGUGACCAAAUCUUGGCCGUGAACUGUCAGGAAUAGUUGCUGCCCCUCUUUCGAUGGUAAACAACCAUGGUGCUGUGUACUCGUAAUCUGUCCUGGUACAAGGCCAUUAUUUCCUGCCGAAUUUACAGUAAGUAUUCCCUUCUGUGCUACAUGGAAAGGUCCAACUGCUAUAGAAUCAUCUAUCAAGUCAACUGGAUAAUUGAAACCAAUUGAAAUUGUAAUAAUGUCAACUCCAUCAGCUAUAGCAUCGUCGAAUCCAGCCAAUAUAUCAGCAUCAUCUCAAUAUGUAAAAACAUAAGCUUUGUAUACAGCAGUCCUUGCUGCAGGCGCCUCUCCUCGUACAGUACCUUCUACAAUUCCACAGUAACUCACAUCCAUGACAUUGUUUCCUGCAGCUGUUGAGGAAAUAUGCGUUCCGUGACCUUCUGACCUUCUAAAUCUCUUGGCGAAUCUGAUACAUAGUAACGAGCUCCAAUGAUUUUGCUAUAGACAUGUAUACGUUGCAAUGACUGCCAGUCGUAAACAUGGUUCAAAAGAGCGGUCACAAUUGCGGUCACGGCUCGGACUAUUCCACAUCGGUCUUAGCAUAUCGGUCGCAGUUUCGGUAAGACGAGAAUUUUUGAACUAUUUAAUAUUCUAAAAAUUAUAAAAAAAAAUAUGAUAAACAAAAAUAAUUAAAAAAUUAGUAAAAAUAAUAAAAAUUCGAAUUGAUUCAGGAUGAUUCGGAGUAAUUCAGUGUGAUUCGGCCGUUUCAACUUUUCAUGGUAAUAUCUCGACGAGUCAAAUAUCUCAAAAUCGUAUUGUUCCGAUAUCGUAUCGAGAGGGUCCGAGACGGUGAUGGCUCCGACUCGGCCGAAUCUUUGUACCAUAGUCGUAAAUGUCCUCUUUCAAUACGUCCAAACUCAAACGUAGUAAAUUAACUAACAAAAAGAAGAAAACUUACUUGUUACACAUGAAAUCAUCUCCGCCGUUACAUGCUCUUUUCCAUUUGUUUGGAAUAGGACCAAAACCAUGAUCGUCAAAACUCUCUUAUUCUGGCCAAAUUCCAGAAUCAAGAACUCCUAUAAUUAUAUCACUCUCAACUGCAAGAUUUCGAGGGGCACUUUUGAAGAAAACCAAUAAAGUCCCACGAUGAUGUUGUAUGAAGUUGAAGCCUUUUGCAUGGAAAUAUAGAAACCACAUCAUCACGGGCUGCAUAUUUCGUUAGAACUUCAUAAAUUACUAAAAAGUAAAUAGAAAUAUAACAGCAGCAGGAGAGAAUGGACAAUCACACCAGAAAUGGGAACCACCUAAGGAAGGCGUGAUAAGGAUAAACACAGAUGUGGCUCUCUCAGCUAAGAUGGUAAGGACAGGGUUGGGGAUAAUUGCGCGGAAUUGGCGUGAAGAGAUAGUGAAAGCCAAAGGCAUCAUGGCGAGGAUGAGAGGAGAACCAACAAUAGAGGAAGCAUUGGCAAUAAGGAGUGCGUUGGAAAUGGCCACAACUGCAGGGUGGACUACAAUAAAGGUCCAAUCUGAUUGCAAAUUUGUGGUGAGCCUAAUCAACUCAAGCAAUGUGCAGGAUUGUAAGGUACAAACGAUCUUGGAAGACAUUGAAGACUUGAAGAAGAAUUUUGAAAGAUGUUUGUUUUUGUUUGUUCCCAGAACUGCUAAUAGUUGUAGCCAUGCUAUGGCUUAAUUUGCAGUUAAGUCAGUUAGGAUGAUUGAAUGGGAGGGAGCAUUCCUAUUUUGGUUAUCAGAACUAGCUAGAAAGGAUAUGGGGGUAGUUACCCCUUUUUGUAAUUAACUCUUGUAAUAUCAAGUGUUAAUAUUUAUAAAAUUGUAUCAUUUGACUGAAAAAAAUAGAAAUAUAACAGUUAAUGAAAUUUGAAUCUAUUCAGGUAGAAUUAUCAAAAAUGGUUAAUAGAGAGUAUGGCAAACUAGCCAAAUUGAACUCACCAGCUAGCUUUCGCUGCUCUUGCUUUGUAAGGUUGGCUGCAAAUCCAUUGAAACUCCUAGUAUAACUUCUUACCUAGGUUUUCCCUUGGUACCUUCCAUGACAUGGGGGGGGGGGAAGGAAAAAUCAUCAUUAAGUUUUUUUAAUGGAUCAAUUGGUACAUAUAAAUUAGAAGGCACUGAAUCUGUACACAUUACAUGCUAUUUACAACAACGGUGAAUAUUCUCCUUCAGGAAGCGAUCCCAUGUAUACAAUGUAAACCUUUCAUCAAGUAAAAGAAAGGCACCAUCAUUCCUUGCCUUGCUGUACCUUAUUGAAUUUGAAAGCUUCAGUUCCAAUUUUCUUGCUAUUAAAUUGCAUUUGUUAAUCAAGCAUGUAAAAUGUAAUUGUGACUUUAUGAGUAAAAUGAAGUACUUGGCUGCCAUAUAUAUAUAUAUAUAUAACCCUGGAAACUUAAUACUUUUAUAGACAUGAAAACAGAGGGGAUCAGCAGCUACCAUUGCCAAUUAACGACAGGGAUUAUAUCCAAAUAUAGACAAUUUUAACCAUUGUUUAUUAUAAUUCCUUUUCUUUCUUUUUUUUUAAGCAUAAACUUUUGCCCCUUAUGCUCCUCUUAGAGAGCCAAGAUCCUAGCAUCAAGGGGGGCCAAUCUCAGAUAGCACAUGAAAUGUAGUAAUAGAAUAGUUAAGUGCAACAAUGCCUAUAUUAAAUAUACCUUUUUUUCUUUCUGAAUUAAUUAUACUUUCAAAGUGAAGUUGUGCAUAAAUUCAAAAGUGAAAACCAUUCUAUCUAUUUGAGUUUAGAAACGUCGAAAGAAUUUUUAUGAAGGGUAAUAUUCAUUUUUAGCUUUAAAUAGGUCUAACGUUCUUGGGAAGGGUAAUAAUUAUGAAUAUUUAAUUAUUUAGGGCAGGCAAUAUAGAUGGAAAAUUGAAUUUUAUAAAUUCUAAAUGGGAAAAUAAGAGCAACUUUAAAAAUUUUUAGACUUUCUAAACUUAAAAACUAAUUUCCUUAAAAAUGUGAAAUGAAGGGGGAAAAUGGUGGGGGGAGGGGGGGGGGAAUGCAAGCUACAUGUGGUUCCACCACUGUUUCUUCACCUUUAUUUAAUCCACCCAAAUAUCUUUUUCCUAACAUCAAAGAAUUUAAGGAUCAUACAGUAUCAAAUGAAAACUUCAUGGGUACAAAAUGGUUCUUAGUAGGGUAAGCCUCUCUCUCUUUGGACAUAGUAAAAAGAUCAAAGAUGCAUGCCCAUUCUUGUGCAUAAUUAGUAUCAAAAAACUACCUCAUUUGUUUGGACAGCUUUAGAAGGAGAAGGGAUAAUGGGCCAAUGAGAACUUUGGGGGGAAGGGGGGUGGAAAAAAAACCCUUUACCACAACAAUGCCAUUAACUUAUUGAUAGAAGGAUCACAUCAUGAAAUAAAAAAAAUAAUAAAUUAAACUAUACAUAUAUAAUCAUGUAUAAUUUCUUGAUUAUAUAUAUAUAUAUAAAUAAAUUAGAAAUAAAAAGCUGUAAAACCAAAAAGAGUAGAAUAGCCAUUGUUGCCUUCUCAAUAGAAGCAUAGCGAUUAUUGAGGCUGGAAAAACUAACAACCAAAACCAUGUUUUAACUUUUCCUUGAGGUUGUGAUAUAUAUAUAUAUAUAUAUAUAUAUAUAUAUAUAUAUAUAUUCCCCACCACAACAAAGUUUUCAUUUAAAUUAUCUUUGAAUGCAAAAAUGAGCUGUACUUUUAUGAACUUGUCUGCUUAAAUUACAUUAGAUUUUGUUAACGUUGUAAAGGAAACACGUUCCUCUAACAAUUGUGAUGGUAAUAUUUUUGAAAUCUAAAUUUAAUGUGCAACGCCUCCUCGCCUAUUUCAGAUGGCAUGACUUAUCCGUUAUGCUUGUUUGUGGAGGCGUAAAUUGACCAAACUACCUUCCAUUUUUUCCCUUCCUACAGGACAAAGAAAAUAUAUAACAUUUCUUAGUUCAAAAUAAUACUGGAAAAAAUAAGAAUCAGCAAAAUAUUUACAUUUCAUGUCAAAGAAAGAGAUGCAUCAAAACAAAAAUCACGGCCUUUCGAAGCUUAUUGUGACUUGCAGAGAAGCUUAAUCCUUGAUACAAAAUAUGCAUUUUCAUAGUUAUUAUGUGCCUUAUUUUCCAAACACUAUUGUGGUUAAUUACCAUUUUUGUUUUAGAAAUUAGUCGUCCAAUUGUCAUUAAGAAUGGGUUUUUUUUUUUAAUCAUAGGCUACUAUUUUAAUUAAGAACAAUUUUCUCAUGUUAUUUCUUUGGAAUUUUGUUGAUUAUGAUAAAUGGAAUCCUAAUGACAGUUGUUUGUGAUGUGUUUUUCAAAUUCAUUCUUUUGGAUUCAGUUGGUACUAGCUUAAUUAUCUUUAUUAACUCUACUGAAAUGGAUUGAGCUAACAAAUUUGGGGGUUUCUGAUUGGGCUCCUAGUGCUUUUGAGUGUAGAGCGGUGUCUAUUAGCGAAUUUCCAUUAUCAAUUUUGGGUCGUACUCCCAACAGCCCAAAGAAUUUAAUUUACAAAAAUGAAAAUCCGUUUGAGUUUUAAUACUACACAUAUACGCCCCAAGAUUCAAUUUGGUUGGCAAGAACAUUACUCAUGUGAUUGUAAGCUAUAUGAGUCGACUCUCAAUCGCUUCUCUUUUAUUCCUUUUUAAGGUUUGAAGUCUCUCCUUGAAAAAAAAAGAAAAAAAAAAAAGAGAAAACCCCACAUAUACUAUUGAAGUUGCAAAUUUUGUUAAUAAAACCAAAAACAAAUAUAGAAAAUUAUUAUAAACUAUUUAUUGCAAGUUUUGUCAAUCAUACACCAAUUAUGACUAACUUAAGAAAUAAUAGUUUCUUUUCCUUUUAAAUAGUAAAUAAGUUGAAUAUCCAAAAAAAAGAUAAAUAGAAAUCUUAGUUUGUUUUGAAACAUUAUAUAAACAUGCAUCAACACAAUGCAAAUCAUAAAUGGUAGGAAAAUAUUGCUGUAUGCUAUGCACGACACUAUACGACAGAAAUAAAGCAAAAGAUACAUAGUCCAUUUCUUUUAGUUUUUAGCUAUUUACACGUCUGUGUAUAUUGGUAUAACCAUGUCGUGUUUUCUUAGUACUUUUUGCACACUAAAUGCGGAAACAAAACCAAUCAACUAUAAUUGUCUCUAAUUAAAAAAAAUUUUGGAGGAUAAGGAAUAAGGAGAAAGAAUUAAAGAUUAAAAUGAAUGAAAUGCUUGCUACAAUUCUAAUUUUUUAUUUUUUUUCCCUUUUUUUGUGAUAGACAUUUUUUCCUUGAAGAAAAAAUAACACAAAGACAAUAAAUGUUAAUUAAGGAUUUUCAAACAUUCUGGCAUCAGCUGGUGAUAAUAAUAUCAUCUUCGUUACAUGCCUUUUUACUCACAAUAAAAAAAAAAGGCAUGUCAGUAUAAGUUACUUAAUUCUGCUCUCAAGUUUCCCCUCCUCUCGUAUAGUAUAAACUGCCUUACAGUCACUAGCAGCCUACUACAAUAAAAGCUAGGGUAAUAUUAAUAUCCUGUAAUCUGAACCCUAAAUAGCUGGGAAUUCCCAGUCAAGUCUUGCUGAUAAACAAAUGUAUCCCAGUGCCUAUUUAGGAUUGCGGAGGAAAAGGUUUUUUAGCUAGUAGAUAUUCUUUUUUUUUUGUUAAAGUAUUUUCUACUUAAUAAUGUAUAAUUCUGAAAUUUUUUGAAACAUAUUUCUCUCUUCAUUUAGUUAAAGUUUAUGAUAAAAUGGUUAAAAUCAAAUUUUUAUUUUUUUAAAAUAUAGAAAAAAAUUCUAAGAGUGCCAAUUUCGAGCUUGUAUUAAAAAUGCCUGAGUGCCAAAAAAUUUUACUCCUAAAUUCAAAAAAUGAUACCUUAAAAGUUCUUUUAUUCUCCAAAUAUACUUUUUCAAUACAAGCAGUACCGUAAUAUCAAACAGACUCCCAGUAUCUCAAAAAAAAAAAAAAAAAAAAAAGAAGCAAGAAUAGCUGCCAACGGUUUCAAAAAGUUAUUGUAUGAUUCAAUAUCACGUGUGAAUAGAGCUGUUAAUCGAGCCGAGUAUUUGGCUGCCGAACUCGACUCGAGCUCGUUAGGAAAACGGGUUUUAAAAUGUGUUCGAACUCGACUCGUUAAAUAUACAUGUGGCUUGAGCUCGAGCUCGAGCUCGACUCGUUUAUCACAAACGAGUCGAGUUUCACGAGCUCGAGCUCAAGUUCGUGCAAAUUAACUUUAAUAAAAAUCUAUAAUUUUUAAUUUUUAUAAUUUUGAUUUUUAAAAUAACAAAUAUACCCUUCAUUAAUGAGUUCUAACGAGCUACUCGAGUAUCAAACGAGCCGAGCUUGUUAACUAAACGAGCCUGUUUCGAGCUCGAGCUCGACUUGUUAAUCAAAAUUAACGAGUCGAGCUCGAGCUUUAAUGAGUCGAGCUCUAACGAACUUUCGAACUACUCGAUUGAUUUAAGCUCUACGUGUGAAUCUCACAAAAGGGUGUAUUAAAAUUACAAUUGUGUUCAAAGUAAUUUAUAUUAUUAUUAAACAAACAGAAUUACAAUUUGUUCAAAUAUAUGUAACCCUCCUCGAGGAUAGGCUGCUAGCUUGAUAGGUACUUUACCCUCAACCCUCAAGGAUAGGCAGCUAGCUUGAUAGGUAUUUUAUAUAAAUUGAUAGAUACUUUACCCUCAAGGAUAGGCUGCUAGCUUGAUAGGUAUUUUAUAUAAAUUGAUAGGUAUUUUACCCUCAAGGAUAGGCAGCUAGCGUGAUAGGUAUUUUAUAUAAAUUGCUAGGUACUUUACCCACAACCCUCAAGGAUAGGCUCUAGCUUUUGACUUGGUUCGGACUAGAGAAGAUGACAAACGGAUGUAGGGUCUUGAUUUAUGCCCUCUCUACUGCUCCGAAAUCUUCUUGUUAAAAUUCUCGACUAAGUGAAAGAAGGCCAAUUGCACCCCCCUCAACUUUUGAAAUCUCCGGAAUAACCUAAAAAAAUUUGUCUGAAUUUUUUGAAAUAUAUUUCUCUCUUCAUUUAGUUAAAGUUUAUGAUAAAAUGGUUAAAAUCAAUUUUUUAUUUUUUAAAAUAUAGAAAUAACUCUAAAAGUGCCAAUUUCGAGCUUGUAUUAAAAAUGCCUACGUGGCAAAAAAUUUUACUCCUAACUUCAAAAAAAUGAUACUUAUUAAAUACAUUAAAAGUGCUUUUAUUCUCCAAAUGUACUUUUUUAGAACAAGCAAUACCGCAAUCUCAAACAGACUCCUAGUGUCUCAACGAAAUAUAGCCAAGAACAGCUACCAACAGUUCCGAAAAGUUGGGCCUAUUUAGAACCUGAGUUUUUUAGGAGUUUGUCUAAAACUUUACUGUAGUGCACUGUAGAAGUUUUUGAAAAAAUUUUGUAGAAGUUUUUAUAAGGUGAAAAUUUUUUUUUGUAAGAUGAAAAAUUUUGUAGAGUGAAAAACUUUUUUUUUCCUUUUCUUUUUUUUUUCUCUUUCUCUUUCUUUUUCUUUUCUUUCUUUCCUUUUUCUUUUCUUUCCUCUCUUCUUCUUUUUCUUCUUCCUUUUUCUUCUUCUUUUUUCUUUCUUUCCUCCCCGUUACCUCCCAGCAGCACUUACGCCCGCCACCCCUCUCCUCCCUUUCCCCUUCUCCUCUCGCCACCUUCCCUCUGCGACCGUGACCCCCUCCCCCCCGCCACCCCCUGCCCUUUCCCCCUGCCACCCCCUGCCCUUUCCUCUGCCAGCAUGACCCCCUCCCCCCCACCCCUUUUCCCCAGCUUCUCCCGCCCCCUUCUGCCCUUUCUCUGACCCCUCUCCUGCCAUUUCCCCAGUUUCUCCUGCUACCUCCCAUGCGCGACCCCCUCCCCCGCCACCCCCUGCCCUUUCCCCAGCACGACCCCCUCCUCCCGCCACCCCCCGGACGGCGCUGAAAUAGUCCUCCGGUUUCCGGCAAAAAGCAUCGAGGAAUUUACGGAACUUGGAACGUUUCGUCGCGGAGGAUUUCCUCUUCUGCAUCCAGUUGAAUAAGGAAACCAUCACGUUGAAUUUGAUGUCAAAUUCCUCCAUUCUGGACUUUUUUUUCCCCCUUUUUUUCUUUUUCUGGGCUAUGAUUUUGCUUGUUCGGUUCUUGGGGUUCUAUGUUCACUUUUUGUGUUUGAAAAUGAAGGAUUUAAAAACUGCCUGAAAUGGGGAGGGGGAAGGGGGUAGGGCUGGCAGAGGGGAAGAGGGGAGGGGGGAGAGAAAAAAAAACUUUGUGUAUGGCCGGAACUGGCCGCCGGAAUAGUAACUGGCGUCGGAAGUGGUGCUGGAGGUGGUGGCCGGCAGCGGAGGAUGUGGUGGGUUGGGUGGGGGCGGAAAAAGAAAAAAAGUUUGAAGGGAAAGUUUUUUUUGUGUAUUUUUGAAGUGUGUAGGUAAAAAGUUUUGGGAAGUUUUUUGGGGUUCCUGUAGCAAAAGUUGUUAAAAAACUAGUAGGUAAAAAAUUUGGUCUAAAAACUCACUUCCAAACAGGCCCGUUAUUUUAUCAAAUUAACUUUACUCAAAUACAUAACCCUAAUCAUAUUAUAUUCAUAAAUAUAUAUAUUUUAAAUUAUUAAUCCAUUUAUAUCCAAAUCCGGGUCUAAUACGUGGCAGAAUACUAUAUUCCGUAUUCAACCCGUUUUUUGUUUGACAAAAUGGAUCCGGAUCAGGAUCCGGAUAACGGAAUUAAAUCCCUAUCCGUACCCGCAAUAAUUUCACGGAUCCGGUCCGGGUCUAAAUCCGAACCAUUGACAGGCCUAAUUGUAUGAUUCAGCGUCAUGUGUGAAUCUCGCAAAAGGGUGUAUUAAAAUUACAUUGUGUUCAAAGAAAUUUAUAUUAUUAAUCAAACAGAUUUAAAAUUUGUUCAACUAGAUGUAACCCUUCUGGCAGCGCAACGGUCCCUGCCCUUAUGGAUAGGCUGCUAGGUUGAUAGGUAAUACCAUACCAUUGAGUAAUAGCAACCUCUGGCUGGUAUGCCAAACUAUCUACAAAAGAUAAGCUGUUAGCUUGGUAGGUAAUACCAUACCAUACCAUUAAGUAAUACCAUGCCUUUAUUGUCCUUUUGUGUUGUUGCUUUUGUAUAAGGGAACUCUUGAGACUAAGAAGCUAGAGAAUCACACUGGGCAAAAGUUACAGUAACUGAAUUUAGAUUGAACAAACCAUCAGCCUUUGGGUUAGUGGUGACCACCAAGCGGAAGCCUUAUCUCCUAAUUGCCAUAUUAUGUGGCUCUCUAAAAAAUCUAGACGGGUGUGUACUAUACCCGUUGUAUACCCAUCUAAUUCGAUGAUGGUUCAAUUCCCGUCGAUUCUCUUCCAUUGGCUCAGUUGGGCCUUCACUUAAAAUAGGUUAGAGUAGGAGUAGGAGUAUAUGUAAAGUAAACUAUUGUCGACCGUAAAAAAAAAAAAUUUAGAUUGAACAUGAAUUUAGCAAUUUAGCCACCUGAAAUGCUAUCCUGAUAAGUUGCCAAAACUGAAGUUUAUGCUCAAAAAAAUUGCUGGAACUGAACACUGCUCCAAACGGGACUAAUGGGUUUUAUUUUGUUUACUCCAGGAAACUUUUAUAGAUCCAGGGUUAGAAGUGUUAUUCCUCUUGAUAUACUGAUUGAAUUUUCUAAGCUUCCUCAAGUCAUUUGCCUAACUUUUGAAUUGGUUCGGACCAAAGAAGGAUGACAAACAGAUGUAGGCAGGAGUAGGGUCUUGAAUCUUGUUAAAAUUCUCGACUGUGGAAGAAGGCAUAUCAAUUUUAGCUAUUAGACUAAAACUUUCUCGAUAUAUUGAAAAUUUGACAUUCACUACGUCAUAACAUGUUUUAACGUAUGAUCACCAUUUUCUUGUUUUGAACAUACACGUCAGUCAUUCAAUGUGGCUAAUUAAUAUCUGUAUAUUGCUAAUUCUUUCCACUAAUUAAGUGAUAAGAUAAUUAUUUUGAACGAUAUUUGUAGGAAAAUUGUAACAUAAUAUUUUAUUAAUAACCGCUUUUGUGAUAGUAAAAGAAGUUAGAAAGUAAUUCCUGAAAUUAAUCCCACAUCGAUCAAAGGGGGGUUGAGGGUUAGAUUAUUAGUUUCCUGGAUGAUCUCAAGAGUUGCCGGUUUUUGAGAUUUACUUGGGAUUAAGGGUUAGUAAUUUAAUUCUGGUUUCUUCAUUGAAAGUAAUUCUUGAAAUUAAUGUGGUUAAAAAAACGCUCCAUCCAAACAGAAAAUUCACGUCUUUUGAUUCUUUUUGUCUUUCGUGGAAGUAAUCCACGAAUUGGACACUUGAGAAAAAAUGGAGCAUCGAUUAAAAGAACAAUCAAGUUUACGUGACCAGAUAAAAAGAACAAUGAGCAGGGGCGGAGUCAAGGCCAGCCCAAUUGCACCCUCCUCAACUUUUGAAAUCUCUAGAAUAACCUAUAAAAAUUUGUCUUUUAUUGUUGUUGCCCAACUUUUGCCUCCCUUGAAAUUUAAUAAUAUUCCCUCUAACCUUACAAUUCCCCCCCCCACCCAAAAAUUUUAAAAUUGUAUGCAGUUACCACCAUCAUUUCUACAAUGCAACAUUAACAUAAAAUAUAUUAUACGAUGCUAUUUUUAUUUUCUUUCUAACAAAUCUUAUUCACUCAACAUUAAGCUUAUCAUAUAUAUUAAACUAUAUGAAUUACAAGCAAAUCAAACAUAUAUAUAUUCAUUUGACUCUCUAUACAUUAUCCGCCUAUUGUAUGUAUGAAUAUAUACAUCUAAUACGCAAUGCAUAAUUUAAUUAUUAUGCACUUUUAUACAAUUUUUAUGCAUAGUUGUAAUUACUAUGUAAUUUUAUCCCAUUAGAAGACCUGAUAAUUUUUGCAAAUGAAAACAAGUUGUAGAUAAUUUUUUAAAUUAUUUUAAUAUUAAGUAAAGUGGCAGUACAUCAAAGACAUUUAGUUAUCCCAAAAAUAUCCCAAAAAUCUAUAACACAUUGUAAACCUAUGUUAGUAUUGUAAACCUAUGUUAGUAUUAUUACAGGAGAUUAUACAACUCCUUCUGGUAUCGUAUCCUCAAGUCAAAUUCAUGGUUAGAUGGUGAAAUAAGUUUUUCGGACCCUUAGACUGUAUUACUUCAAUCAUUUAAAAUUUGAACCACUAUUAAUUACCACUAAAAGAUAAAAAUUACGGGAAUGGUUUCUCAAGGGGAAUAUAAAAUUUUCUUAUUAUUGCGCCUCAUGAAUAAAGGUCCUAACUCCACCAAUGACAACGAAGGAUGGCAGCUGGCUGAAAUUAUGCGGAAGGAUUAUGCACAUAUCCGCAUCUUUUGAAUCAUUCCUAUUCACCAAUAUAAACCCCCAAGCUGUGGCAUCUUGAAACCACAACCAGAUACCAGUUCACUUAGAAAGUUUGAAACACCAUGAAGUUCACCUACACUUUGUCCCUUCUGGUUUUGUGCCUAACUUUGUACUUAACCUUCACCAAUGCUGCAAAUUUCAACAUUAUAAACCAAUGUACCUACACAGUUUGGGCAGCUGCUUCCCCAGGCGGUGGCAGGCGGCUCGACCGAGGCCAAUCAUGGUCCCUAAACGUGGCUCCUGGCACCACCCACGCUCGCAUUUGGGGCCGAACCAAUUGCAACUUUGAUGCCAAUGGCCGAGGCCAAUGUCAAACAGGUGACUGCAACGGGGGCCUCGUAUGCCAAGGCUAUGGAAAGCCUCCGAAUACACUAGCUGAAUUCGCCCUAAACCGGCCUAACAACGUAGACUACAUCGACAUUUCCAACGUUGAUGGAUUCAACAUCCCAAUGGAGUUCAGCUCCGUUACUCGUUGCCGUAAUAUCAGAUGUUCAGCGCCUAUUGUUGAUCAAUGCCCAGCUAAGCUAAGAACUCCAGGUGGAUGCAACAAUCCCUGCACUGUCUUUAAAACAAAUGAGUUCUGUUGCACCAAUGGCCCAGGAAGCUGCCGCCCGACCGACUUCUCCAGGUUCUUUAAGAGCAGGUGCCCUGAUGCUUAUAGCUAUCCUCAAGAUGAUCCCACAAGCUUGUUUACUUGCCCAAGUGGUACAAAUUAUAGGGUUGUCUUCUGCCCUUAAAUAAAGCUAGAUAUUUAAGGUUCUUGUGACAGCUUAUAUGCUCCAAGAACUUCACUAGAAAAGUAGAUUAUGAGAAAUAAACGCAUAUGUGAACCUUCUGGUAAUGGUUCACUGGAAUUGGGAUAAAUUUGAGCACAUAUAGCAUUGUGCGGUUUGUCUUCUUUAUCAGCUUUUUGGCUUUAUAAACUACUUAUGAACUAGAUGACCAGUUCAAAACUAAUGAAGUUUUACUAAAUUAAUCAGUAAGAAGGAUUUACGGAUCUCUAGUUUUAAAUUAGAUUGUCAAAAUACUUUGUUCCCCACACUUCGAAAAUUUGAGUCAUGUUUAGGUUUAACUUACAUAGGAGAAUUCCUUUUUUUUUUUUUUUCUGAAAUUCAGACCAUCUCUCCAGUCAAAUACUAAGAUGUCAUAUAAAUCAAAUUAAUUUGUUUAAGUGUAUUACACAAUCAUACUUCAUGUAUAUAAAUGUUACCACAAAAUCAAGAGUAAGAAAAGUUUGUCUUGCAACUAUUCAAGAAAUGGAAGCUUGGUGUAAAUUCAAAACAAAAAUGGAGAUUUCUAUACUAAGGUAAACCCCAAAAUAAUUGAAAAUGAUAAUCUCAUGAAAUAACAAAGAUGGUGAGAUGAAAGAUUACUAAGUAAGAUAAAGGUGCGAUUAAGGCGUUCAAUCGAGGAAACUUGUAGAUGCCAAAUUGACAAUUUGAUGCACAUAUGCUUAAUAGUAUUCAAGUGUUCAUUCUUAAAAGUUGGAAUUGGGCCAAUAUUGUAAUUCAGCCCGGUUGUAUAUUUAUUACAUUAUACUGUUAUAUUCAUGGAAACAGUGAUGUAAAUGAAUAAAACAUUUCAUCUACAGUGAAUAUAAUAUUAGGGUAAAUUAUUUAUAAUUCUUCUGUAAUUUUAUAUAAUGUCAGACGAUCUCCCAUAUGUUUCAAAAUAGUCACAUCACCCCCUAUGAUUUUAUGUAAAGCAGAGAAUAAAUAAAAAGUACUAUCAAUUACAAUGUGUAUACCAAACGUGCUCUAAAAAUAUGUGUCAUAAAAUCUUAGUUUUCAUGUAAUCCACUUAUGAGAUGUAUAAUUAUCCACUUUACCUCCUAUAAUUUUUGUAUUUAUCCAAAUAAUCCCCUAUGCUUUUAUAUAAGAUAGUUAAACUGUCAAUUGAUUUAGCAUUUAUACAAGGGCACUAUUAAUAUGUUAAUUAAUAGUCGUCCAAGCAACCAUCAAGACACAGCCAACAGAACAAGCUAUUAGCAACUCAAAUUUUAUCAAUCAUUACAUGUACUAGAGCUUAAUUGGCAAGGAAGAAGUGAAUUUACUUGGCUUUUAAUUCGUUCUUUAUCCUCGAAGCAGUCUUUGCAUAUCUACCAGAGGGAAUUUUGUCAAUGUAUUAACUGCAUUUCCCUGCUUCACUAAUGGUUAGAACAUAAAUAAAGCAAGGUGUUCUGGAACAACGUCAAAUCAAACAUAAAACCAAUUUAUGCAUGACAAGGGCAGAAAUUAAGGUCAAUACAUGCUGCUAAAUUUACUCCAUUACCAAGGACAACUUCACCGAUGAUCUUGGGAUUUGUAGUAGUUGUUGCGAUGGUGAACAACCAUGGUGCUGUACUUGUAAUCUGUCCUUGUACAAGACCAUUAUUUCCUGCCGAUUACAGUAAGUAUUCCCUUCUGUGCUGCAUGAAAAGAUCCAAUUGCUAUAGAAUUAUCUUUCAAUCAACCGGAUAAUUGAAACCAAUUAAAAUUGUAAUAAUGUCUACUCCAUCGGCUAUAGCAUCGUUGAAUCAAGCCAAUAUAUCAGCAUCAUCACAGCAUGGAAAAGCACAAGCAUUGUAUACAGCAUUCCUUGCUGCAGGCGCCCCUCCUCGUAUAGUACCUUCUACAAUUCCAUAGUAACUCACAUCCAUGACAAUGUUUCCUGCAGCUGUGUGCGUUCCAUUAUGACCCUAUAAAUCUGUUGCAGAAUCUGAUACAUGGUACCGAGCUCCAAUAAUUUUUCUGUAGACAUGUACACAUCAAAAUGAUAAUCGAAGUUUCCCAUUCAACAUUUCCUAUGUAAACUAACAAAAAGUAGAAACUUUUCCUGUUGCACAUGAAAUCAAUCCCGCCGUAACACACUCCUUUCCAUUUGCUGGGAAUAGGACCAAAACUUUGUUCACGAAAACUCUCUGAUUCUGGCCAAAUUCCAGAAUCAAGUAACUCCUAUGACUAUAUCACUCUCAAAUGCAAGAUUUCGGGGGGCACUUAUAGGAAAACAAAUAAAGUCGCACGAUGCUGUUGUAUAAGUUGAAGCCUUUUGCUUGGAAAUAUAGAAACCACAUGAUCAUGAGCUGCAAAUUUAGUUAAGAACUCACACAUUAGUGGAAGAUUAAUAGAUUUCAAAAAUCAGGAAAGUUGAAAGAGACUAACGUUGCAAAAUUGCACAGACCAGCCAACUUUUGCUGCUCUUGCUUUGUAAGGUAGGCUGAAAAUCCAUUGAAACUCCUAGUAUAACUUCUUCCCAAGAUUUCCCCUUGAUAAUUUCCAUGACAUAAAGAAAAAGAAAUAAAUAAUGUUAUAAAAAAGUUUUUUUUAUGCAUCAAUUGGUAUGUAGUAUAAGUUUGUGGGCACUGAAUAUAUGCAUUAAUUGCUAUCUUAAGCUUCUUCCAGGAUACUAACAUGGUGCUCGGAAGCUGAAUAUUCUCUUUCAGGAUGCGAUUCCACGUAAACUGUAAACCUGUCAUCAAGUAAAAGAAAACUAUCAUUUCUUGACUUGCUGCAUGUUAUUGAAUUUGAACGCUUCAGUUAUGCGACAGUUAUAUUUAUCGUGUAAAAUGUUGUAGUUAUGAUCACUACAUUGAAGUACAAUGCUGCAAAUUCAAUAUAUUACCCGAUACGCAUUAAUCAAAGAAAAUUAAUCUUUUACAGAAAUGAAAAGAGAAGAUAUCAAUGGCACUAUUGCCAAUACUGAUGGGCAACAUAUCCAGUUCUAUAGGCAACAUUAGCCAUUGUUUUCAGGAAUUACAUUUUCUAGCUCCAACUAUAUAUUGUUACUUAUGUUCCUUAAUGUAUGUUAAUCUCUAUUAGUACAUUUUUUCAGACCUAAAAGAUUUCUGGGUCGUACAAUACGAAAUCAAAAGGUGAUGUGUACAAAUGGUCCUUAGAAAGGGUAAGCCUGUCUCUUAGGACUUAAAUACAAGGAUCAAAGAUGCAUGUCCCAUUUUGUGCAUAAUUAAUAUCAAAAACCAACCUGAUUUGUUUAGAAAAGUUUGUUAAAACAAUGCAACAUUACCUUUAGUCAAAAAUCGUGGGCUAUUGUUGCAUUUAUGAGUUACAUAAAAGUCAUCCAUACAGGCAGAAGAAAUCCAGCAUUUCUUGCGGCUUUGGAGUGCUUCGUUUUUACUCAUGCUUGUAUCUUGAGCCAGAUUUGAUAUCUCAAGAAUGAGACUCUGAUAAGAUUAGAGUAAGUAUGCUCAAGAUUUGAAGCGAGGCUCAACUUAGUAAUGUUUUGUGCAAGAUUAUUUGUGAGUGUUGUUAUUUUAUACAUUUUUUUAGUGUAAUGUAUUAUUUGUUUGCCUUUAUUAUCAGUAGACUUAAUCCAUUAAUUUGGUAAAUCCACCACAAUCUAACAAAGCUCUGUUACUCGGGGAGUCCCAUGGACACAGUACCCGUACAAAAUAAAGAUUCCAACAUAGAUAUGGGAGGGCAAAAUAGAGAGUCUGAAAAACAUAAUAGAAAAGCUUGAGAAGGGAAGUGGAUAAUGGACCAAUGAGAACAAGAAAAUAAAACAAUUAAACCCUAAUAUUUAUUCUCAUCCACUUAUUGAGUAGAAGGAUCAUGUCAUGAAAUCAAAAGAUUAUGGAAUAACUUGUAACAAAAUAUUUUUCCCGUAAUGAUAUACUAUAUCCCAUAUGAUUGAAGAAAAAGAAAAAUGACUUGCCUGACUUUCUUCACCAGAAUGGUGCAUAAUAGGCUCAUUAGAAUUGCUAAUACAAAUAAGAAACAAAAUGCUAUAAACCCAAAAGAGUAGUACAGCGACCCUAAAACAUGCUUUAACUUUUCCUUAAAGUUGUGACUCAAAUAUUUAAGAUCACAACAAAGUUCUCAUUUCAAUUGUUCUAAAUGCAACAACGAGCUGCAUGCAUAUUGACUUGUCUUGCUACAUUGAUUAAUAGUUUUUAACGUUGGAAAGGAAACACAAAAAAUUUAAGCUAUAGUGAUGAUUGAGUAAUAUUUCUGAGAUCUGAAUUAAAAUGUGUAAUACCUUUCCUAUUUCGGAUGGUAUGAAUUAUGCGUUAUGUUUCUUGUAGGGAGAUGUAAGUUGGCCUACCUACCUUCCAUUUUUGCCUAUAAAAGAAAUUUUUUGUUCAAUAUAAUACUGGAACUAAUAAGAAUUAGAAAAGUAUUUCUAUUUCCAGUCAAAGAAAAUUGAGACGUCAAAACCAGAAACCUUAUUGUAACUUGAAUGUUUGUGAUGUCUUUUGUAAGCAUUAUUUUCCAUUCAGUUGGUACUAGCUUAAUUAUCUUUAGUAAGGUUCUAUUUGAUAAUUUAACUCAGCACUCAAACUUAAUGGGUUCAGAUCAUAAUAUGUUCAAACGCAUUUGAUAACUAAAAAUAAGACAUUUGAAUUAAUUAAGUGACACUGAAUUUUGCACAAUUUAUUUCAAAAAUAAGUGAUAAAUUAUUCAAGUAUCACUUAAUGUGAUAUACAUUUAAAUGUUUCAGAUUUAAUACUCAACAAUUCAGUAAAUUAACGAAUUUAGACUUUAGAUUUCAAAUUUCAUUUUUCAAACUUUAGUUUUAUCAAACGUACCCUAAGGGUGUGUUUGAUAAAACUGAAGUCUGAAUCUAUUAAAUUAUUGAAUUUUUAAGUAUUAAAUCUAAUACAUUUGACUGCAUAUCACAUUCAGUAAUAAGUGAAUAGCUUAUCACUUAAUUUUGGGAGCAAAUUUUGCCUAGAAAAUUUAAUACUAUUUAAUUAAUUCAGAUGUUAAAUUUUUUAUUAUCAAAUGGUCUGAAUAUAUUAAAAAUUGAAUCCAUUAAGUUUAAAUGCUGAAUUGGAUUAUCAAACAGAAUCUAAGUCUAUUAAGGGGAUUGAACCAAUAAAUUUGAUGAGUUUCAGUUUAACAAUAUAUUUAACAAAUUAUCACUGCCCAAUAAGGGCCCAUCUAAAAACACUUGAAACAAGUGCAUGCUUGUUUGGUGAUUUCCGGCUGGGCUCCCGCUGCUCUUGCAGUGUCCAUUAACGAAUUCCUAUUGUCAAUUUUGGGUCGUAUAUCCACCAGCCCAUGGAAUUUAUUUACAAAGGGAAAUCCUUUUAAGUUGUGAAUUUAAUUAGUAUAACGAGAAAUAAUUUGAGAAAAUUACAACAAAGUACAAACCAUAUGUGCAAGUUUUCUCAAACACAUACCAAUUAUGAAUAGCUUAAGAAAUGAUGAAUAAAUCAUCUUUUUCAGCUUUUCUUUUUGGCCCAUUGUUAAAUCUUCUUUGUUCCCUCAACAAAAAAAAAAAGAAGAAAGAAAUAAACUUCAUCUUUUUAAUUAGUGAAUAAAAUGUAUAUGAAGAGAAAAAGAUAAUUAAAUAUCUUAAUACUAAAACAUAAUGCUACUUAAGAAGUUUCAAAAAUUUUGGUAUCAGUUAGUGAUAAUAAUUUCUCCUAACGCAUUCUUUUAUCUACUACAAAAAAAAAACGUUAUAACUUAUUAUAAAAACCAUCCAAAAUCACAUUGAUUCUUAAGUAUUCCCCUUUCUCCUUGUAAGGGAUGAAUUGCAUCCAAAUCAGGUUCCUUACAAGUGGCUAGCACCCUAAUGGCCUAAUCCAUGGAAGCCAUAUUACAAAAGUGGACUACAAAAGCUAGGGGAAUAUAAUUUCCCAUACUUCUUAUUGUAAUCAUUCCCAAUUUACCUUGGCAUAUACUGGUUUGUUACAAGACUUCAAUCGCUAGCUCUGAACCUCUGGCUAGUAUGUAAUGGCAGAUUAUCUACUAGGAUCAGAGGCAGUUACUAGAUUGGAAAUCAAUACCAGACUAGUAGUGCCCUUUAUCUUGUUGCUUUUGUAUCAUUGGGUUCUUGAAAACAAAAGGCUAGAGAAUCACACCGGGCACAAGUUGCAGUAAAUGAAUUUUGAUUGAACAUGAAUUUAGCAUUUUACCCACCUCAAAUGCUAUUCUGGAAAGUUGCCAAAACUGAAGUUUAAGCUCAAAAAACUGCUUGAACACUGCCCCAAACAGGGCCUUUUUUUUUUUUUUUUUUUUUUUUUUAAAAACUACUUGAGUAAGUUCUACGAAAUCCAGGACUAGAAACUCUUGUUCCACUUGAUACGCUGAUUGUCUUGAUGCCAUUUGCCUAACUUCUGAGUGGAUCGGGACUGGAGAAGGAAGACAAACGCAUGUGUGGCCUUCAUUUAUGCCCCGUCUGCUGCUUCAGAAUCUAGUUGCAGUUCCCGUCUAAGAGGAAGAAUCUAAAGGACAAAGAAACAAGCAGAAGACUUUAGUAGUCAUGAAAUUAUCAUUAGUCUCCUCAGGGCUGGAAUUUGAAAAAAACCCUGAAUACUAACAUGUUGAUAUUGGCUACCCAGAACAGAAAGUUAUCGCUAAAAUAAUUACAAGCUAAUACCAUCAUUUCUAAUUUUGAACUUACGUUUCAGUGUAUCUAAUCCUUAUUAAUUUGUAUAAUUGCUAAUUCUUUCUACUAAUUAAGUCAAAAGAGAAUUGUUUUGAAUGAUCUUUUUUCUUUUUCGAAAAUUGUAAUAUAAUAUUUUGAUCAUAAGCGCAUUUGAGAUUUUCAAAGAUGUUAGAUAGUGAUUCUUGAAAACAACGAAAAACUCCACCCAAACAGAUAAGCCAUGUCUGUAUCUUUUUUCUAUCUUUCUUAGAGGUAAUCCACGAAUUGGACACUAACUAAGAAAACAUCAUAACAUUGACAUAUUAGAACACUGAAGUUCACAUUACCAGAAGAAUAAAAAAUGAGGGAUGAGAACUGACUGAAAUUAUGCAGGAGGAUUAUUGAGAGAGAAGCAUCUUCGAAUCAUUCCUAGAAUACAAGACAAGACCAUCAACAUCUCUGAAAUUUCUCAUGUAGAAAAUUUGUUAAGAAGAUUAACAUGUACGCGCAAAAUGAUAGCAGCCAAUCGCCCUAUAUAAACCCCCAAGCUGUGGCAUCUUGAAACCACAACCAGCUACCAGUUCACUUAGAAUUUUUGAAACACCAUGAAGUUCACCUACAUUUUGUCCCUUUUGGUUUUGUGCCUAACUUUAUACUUCACUUUCGCCAAUGCUGCAAAUUUCAACAUCACAAACAAAUGUACCUACACAGUUUGGGCAGCUGCUUCCACAGGUGAUGGCAGGCAACUCGACCGAGGCCAAUCAUGGUCCCUAGAUGUGGCUCCUGGCACCACCAAAGCUCGCAUUUGGGGCCGAACCAAUUGCAAAUUUGAUGCCAAUGGCCAGGGCCAAUGUCAAACAGGUGACUGCAACAAGCGCCUCAAAUGCCAAGGCUAUGGAAAUCCACCAAAUACGCUAGCUGAAUUUGCCCUAAACCAGCCUAACAACUUAGACUACAUCGACAUCUCCAACGUUGAUGGAUUCAACAUCCCAAUGGAGUUCAGCUCUGUAACUCCGUGCCGCGUUAUCAAAUGUUCGAAACCUAUUGUUGAUCAAUGCCCAGCUCAGCUAAGAACUCCAGGUGGAUGCAACAACCCCUGCACUGUUUUUAAAAGAAAUGAGUACUGCUGCACCAAUGGCCCAGGAAGCUGUGGCCCGACCGACUUCUCCAGGUUCUUUAAGAGCAGGUGCCCUGAUGCUUAUAGCUAUCCUCAAGAUGAUCGCACAAGCUUGUUUGCUUGCCCAAGUGGUACAAAUUAUAGGGUUGUCUUCUGCCCUUAAAUAAAGCUAGAUAUUUAAGGUUCUUGUGACAGCUUAUAUGCUCCAAGAACUUCACCAGAAAAGUAGAUUAUGAGAAAUAAACGCAUAUGUGAACCUUGUGGUAAUGGUUCACUGGAAUUGGGAUAAGUUUGAGCACAUAUAGCAUUGUGCGAUUUGUCUUCUUUAUCAGCAUUUUGGCUCUUUAAACAACUUAUGAACUAGAUCACCAGUUCAAAACUAAUGAAGUUUUACUAAAUUAAUCUGUAAGAAGGAUUUACAGAUCUCUAGUUUUAAAUUAGAUUGUCAAAAUACUUUGUUCCCCGCACUUCAAAAAUUUGAGUCAUAUUUAGGUUUAACUUACACAGGAGAAUUCCUUUUUUUUGGAAUUCAGACUAUCUCUCCAGUCAAAUACUAAGGUGUCAUAUAAAUCAAAAUAAUUUGUUUUAGUGUAUUACAUAAUGUUACCACGAAAUCCAGAGUAAGAGAAGUUUGUCUUACAAACAUUGAAGAAAUGGGAUGUUGGUGUAAAUUCAAAACAAAAAUGGGGAUUUCCAUGCUAAGGUAGACCCCAAAACAAUUGAAAAUGAUAAUCUCAUGAAAUAACAAAGAUGGUGAUAUGAAAGUUUACUAAGUAAGAUAAAGGUGCAAUUAAGGAGCUCAAGUGAUGUGGAAACUCGUAGAUGCCAAAUUGAUAAUUUGAUGCACUCAUGCUAAAUAGUACUAAUUCACUCUUAAAAGCUGGAAUUGGAGCCACUGCUAGAAGUUCCAUGAAGUUCAGUUCAAUUGUUAUAUUUAUUACGUAAUAUUAUUAUGCUUUUGGAAAAAGUAAUAUACAUGAACGAAAAUACUUGGUAUGUAGUGAAUACAACAUUAUAAUGUAGUUGUCUACCAAAAAUUUAAAUACACACAAUAAAAUAAUGCAUAUCUAUUCAAAUUAUGUAUCAGAAAAGAGUUAAAUAUUGCUCUAAGGAUAAAAAAUUAAGUGAUUAUAUAAUUGUUUUGAACGCUAUUUUUAGGAAAAUCAUUAUAUAGCAUCUUAGUGAUAACUGCUUUUGUGAUAUUAAAAGAUGUUAGAAAUAAUUCCUGAAAUUAAUCUGGUUAAAAAACGCUCCAUUCAAACAGAAAAUUCAUGUCCUUUUUUUUCUUUUUUGGUCUUUCGUAGAGGUAAUCCACAAAUUGGACACUUACGAAAAAGCAUUGGAACAUUGAUUGAAAGAACAACGAGGGAUGAGAACUGACUGAAAUUAUGCAGGAGGAUUAUGGACAGAUCCGCAUCUUUUGAAUCAUUCCUAGGAUACAAAACAAGACCAUCAACAUCCCUAAAAUUUCUAUGUAGAAAUUUGUUGAAAUAUCAACACUUCCAUGCAAAAUCAUAGCAACCAAUUCACCUAUAUAAACCCCCUGGCUGUGGCAUCUCCAAACCACAACAGCUACCAGUUGAAUUGGAAGGUUUUGAAGCACCAUGAAUUUCACCUACACUUUGUCACUUUUGGUUUUGUGCCUAGCUUUAUACUUAACCUUCACCAAUAGCUGCAAAUUUCAACAUUAACAAAAUAAACACAUAAAACAAUUAAACCUUUACCAUGUAUUCUCUUUUACUUAUUGAUCGGUCACAUCAUGAAAUACAAAAGGAUUAUAGAAUUACUUACUUAUAUAAAUAUAUUCCAGGGUAAUGUUAUCUAUUCCAUAUGAUUGAUGAAAAGCGAAAAUGACUUGCCUGUCUUUCUUCGUCAGAAGAGUACCUAAUAGCCGCACUAGAAUUGCCAGCACAAAUAAGAAAUAAAAUGCUGUAAAACCAAAAAGAGCAGUGCAGCCACUGUUGGCUUCUAAAUAUCAGCAUAGUGAUUGUUAUGGCUACAACAACUAACCACCCGAAAACAUGUUUUAACUUUUCCUUAAAGUUGUGACUUAAAUGUUCAACAUCUUAAUGUAAGAGGAAGGAUUCAAUUCCCAGACCUCUUACUUGCACUCCCUCCCCUUUAAACUAUUCAACUCAUCUCAUCCCCGAGUUGUAUGUAUAUUGACUUGUCUUGUUAUAUUAAUUAAUAUCUUUUAACGUUGGAAAGGAAAUACAAAAAGUUUAAACUAUAGUGAUGAUUGACUAAUUUUUGUGAGAUCUGAAUUGCCAUGUGCAAUACCUUGAAGGUGUAAAUUGACCUACCCACCUUCCAUCUUUUACUACUGCUGGGCAAUUAAAAUAAUUUUUCUUUGUUCAAUAUAAUAGUGGAAUUGGUAAGAAUUAGGAGAGUAUUUCUAUUUCUAGUCUAAGAAAAUUGAACAAAUUUGACAAAUUUCAGUUUAAAAAUAUUGACAAAUUAUCACUGCCCGAUACGGGCCCAGUCCAUCUAAAACACGCUUGAAGCACAGAGCAGAUUGAUUUGGUGGUUUCCGGUUGGGCUUCCGGUCCUUGAUCCGCGUCUAUUAACGAAUUCGUAUUGUCAAUAUUGGGCCGUAUAAUCCACCAGCCCAUGGAAUUUAAUUUAGGAAAAUAAAUUUCUUUUAAGUUGUGAAUUUAAUUAGUAGAACGAGAAACAAUUCAGAAAAUUAGUAUAAAGUACAAACCAUAUAGUACAUGUUUUUCUCAAUAAAAUACCAAUUAUGACUAGCUUAAGGAAUUGAUAAAUAAUUCAUCUUUGUUCAGCUUUUCCUUUUGGGUGAUUCCCAUUAAUAAAAUCAUCUUUGUUCUCUCAAAAAAAAAGAAAAGAAAAGAAAAGAAAGAAAGAAACGAACUCCAUCCUUUUAAGUGGUAAAUAAAAUGAAUAAAAAGAAAAAUGCAAAUAAAUAUCUUAACACUGCAAAAAAGAAAUUGAUAUUGAAACAUACUGAUAUUUAAGAAGUUUUUAUAAAUUUUGGCAUCACCUACAGAUAAAAUGAUAUCUCUGUAAUGUGCCUUUUAUUAACUAUAAAAAAAAAAUACGUUACAGAGGUUCCAGUGGCAGAGGUAGAAAUACUUUUCAGUUGGGGCACGAAUUAACUUUCCCAAUUUUUUUCCAAUUUACAAGUGGCUAAUAAUAACAAAAGAUUAUUUUUUUAAAGGAUCAAAUCUAAUAGACUGAUAAACCACCACUGCUUUGUUAAUGAAAAAUGCAAAGCUAUGGGCCAAGGUAAGGUAAAUAUGCAAGCAAAAGUACGUUGGAACUUGGCAUCUAAAGAUUUGCAGCUAUUUGCUUUCUUCUUUGUUUACGUUUUGAUAAAUUAUACAAUAAUGACUAUGCUAUAUAAUAACUAUUUCAAAAUCCAGCCAAGGCACAAUUUAGAAUUUUCAAGAAAUCUCAAAACUAUUCUAGGUACCUCAUUUGGGUCAAUAGGGAUAUGUGCCCCAUUGGCCACAACGUAAAUCUACCCUUUUUUUUAGUAAAAAAAGUUUGGGUGAAUUUGAUUUCGAUUAUCGUCACGGGUCAAAAUCUGUUUCCGGAACUAUAAGUCGCUUGCAGAAGUUCUUAUAAAUCACCCAACAACAGAGACCUCACAAUGUAAAUCCACUUAUAGGUUCUUAGUUCGACGAUCUGAAGCUUUCCUUUGCCAUAAUAAAGCAUGAACUACAUUCAAACUGCAUUCCUUACACUGGGCACAAGUAGCAGUAAAUGAAUUUUGAUUGAAUAUGAAUUUAGCAUUUUAGGCUUGUAGCAACCAGAAAUGCUAUUCUGGAAAGUUGCCAAAACUAAAGUUUAAGCACAAAAAACUGCUUGAACACUUCACGAAACUGCCCAAAUUGGGCUUUUAAUUUUUUUUCUCCAAUUACUUGAGUAACCUCUACGAAAUCCUGGAAUAGAAACUCUUGUUCUACUUGAUAUCCUGAUUGAAUUGUCUAAGCUUCUUGAAGCUAUUUGCCUAACAUUCGCUGGUCUCAGACUUGAGUAGGAAGACAAACAGACGUAUGGUCAUGAUUUGUGCCCAUUCGGCUGCACCAAAAUCUUGUUGAAACUCUAGACUAAGAGGAAGAUUCCAAAGAAAAAUAUCAAAACAGAAGACUUUAGGAGUUACGAAAUUGGCAUUUAGUCUCCUUGGGUGUGGAAUUUGAAAUCAUCAUCAAUACUAACAUGUUGAUAUUGACUACCUCACAACAGAAAGUUAUCGCGAAAAUAAUUAGAUGCUAAUACCAAACGUUUUAAUCUCUAACCAUCAUUUCUUAUGUUAAACAUAGGUUUUAGCGUAGCUAAUCAAUAUAUGUACAAUUGCUAAUUUUUUCCACUAAUUAAGUCAAAAGAUAAUUGUUUUGAAUGGUGUUUUUGCGAAAAUUCCAAUAAAAUAUUUUGUUAAUAAACACAUUUGAUAUUUUCAGAGAUGUUAGAUAGUGAUUCCUGAAAACAGUGAGGUUGAAAAAACAUUUCAACCAAACAGAUAAGUCAUGUCUGUUUCUUUUUUCUAUCUUAGAGAAUUGGACACUAAAGAAAAGAAAUUGUAACAUUGAUAUAUAGAACAGUCAAGUUCACAUCACCAGAAGAAUAAACAAUGGGGGAUGAGAUUAUGCAGAAUAUGGACGGAUAAGCAUCUUUGAAUCAUUCCUAGAAUACAAGAAAGGGCCAUCAACAUCUCUGAAAUUUCUCAUGUAGAAAAUUUGUUAAGAAGAUUAACAUGUACACGCAAAAUGAUAGCAGCCAAUCGCCCUAUAUAAACCCCCUACCUGUGGCAUCUUGAAACCACAGCCAGCUACUAAUUCACUUAGAAAGUUUGAAACACCAUGAAGUCCACCUACACUUUGUCCCUUUUGGCUUUAUGCCUAACUUUAUACUUAACCUUCACCAAUGCCGCAAAUUUCAACAUUAUAAACCAAUGUACCUACACAGUUUGGGCAGCUGCUUCCCCAGGCGGUGGCAGGCGGCUCGACCGAGGCCAAUCAUGGUCCCUAGACGUGGCUCCUGGCACCACCCAAGCUCGCAUUUGGGGCCGAACCAAUUGCAACUUUGAUGCCAAUGGCCAAGGCCACUGUCAAACAGGUGACUGCAACGGGCGCCUCGAAUGCCAAGGCUAUGGAAGUCCACCGAAUACGCUAGCUGAGUUCGCUCUAAACCAGCCUAACAACUUAGACUACAUCGACAUUUCCAACGUUGAUGGAUUCAACAUCCCAUUGGAGUUCAGCUCCGUUACUUCUUGCCGUGACAUCCGAUGUUCAGCGCCUAUUGUUGAUCAAUGCCCAGCUCAGCUAAGAACUCCAGGUGGAUGCAACAAUCCCUGCACUGUUUUUCACACAAAUGAGUAUUGUUGCACCAAUGGCCCAGGAAGCUGUGCCCCUACCGACUUAUCCAGGUUCUUCAAGGACAGGUGCCCUGAUGCUUAUAGCUAUCCUCAAGAUGAUCGCACAAGCUUGUUUACUUGCCCAAGUGGUACAAAUUAUAGGGUUGUCUUCUGCCCUUAAAUAAAGCUAGAUAUUUAAGAAAAGUAGAUUAUGAAGAAAUAAACGGAUAUGAGAACCAUCUUGUAAUGGUUCACUGAAAUUGGAAUAAAUUUGAGCACAUAUAGCAUUGUGCGGUUUGUCUUCUUUAUCAGCUUUUUGGCUCUUUAAACUACUUAUGAACUACAUCACUGCUUACCAAAUUAAUCUGUAAGAUGGAUUUACACAUCCCUUGCUCUGACCCCUGAUUGCAUUUCUUCAAUUUCAAAACUGAGUUACCAUGUUAAUUAGAAAACACAGUGUCCAUGGAUUUUAGUGGUUUUAUUAUCCAUUACGAUUUGUAAUAAAAGAUCCUGGAGAAAAACAAAAUAACAACAACGCAGACAAAAAAAGUUAUACGAUAAAAUUAAAAAAAAAGUAAAAAGUUCUUUUACCCCAUCUAACUUAGCCAUAUAAGAAAAGAAGCUACAAAGUUCAGGAGCAGCCAAGAAUACAUCCACUUUGCAAACAAUUGAUCCGUUUCCUUUUCUUCCACCUGUCAUACUCCUUUCUGUUUUCCUUUCUCUUUUCUUCAAGUAUCAUCCAUGAAUCAGUUCCAGCAAUUUGAGGUAACAAUAAAAUCUAGGCUGUUCGGUGUCGUGGUUCAAUGGAUCUGAUACCACAUCUUGGACGGGUACAAGCUUUGCCCGUCCUCCAUACUACUCUGGCAAAGUUUCUUCGCCUAUGUCCUGGAUAAAAUCCCCCCUUUCCUCUUCAUUAAUCAUGAUCUUAAUCUGUGUUUAUCAUUUAAAAGUAGCUAGUUAAUCACGAUUUUAGAAAAAAACAUGUUUACUCGAAAUUUUUGGAUUUGGAAAUCUAAACGCAAUUAUAUGCUACUUUUUGUACCCAUAAUCAAUGAAUAGAUAUUGAGCGAUGCUGUUACAUGUUUCUGCAAUCAGGCAAAAGAGACAAAUAUAAGCCACAAAUGGCUCAAAUUAAGUGAGAUCUUAGAAUCUUUGAAUUCAUAGAAACGAACAACGGAUCUUCAAUAACUGCUCCUCUGGUUGAUCACAUAAAGAGGCUAACUAUCUGCGUUCUGUAAUCGAUUAAGCAAUAGUACGAAUGGUUUUUUUCAACUCAUUGGGAUCAUGAUGUGACUGGAAAGUUUUAUUUCUGUUGAAAAUUAAAUUAAUUAGCUUCAUACUCUUGCAGAACAAUAAUCUUCCAGUGGGAAAACAAGAUGGGAAGAAAAGGAAAGAAAAGAUCACUUUCUGUCGACUUCUACAAUCAAUAAAAAGCUCCAUUAAUUAACCAAAAAAAGAAGAAGAAGAAGAUGGAUCUUGUAUUGGUUCGUUGUCUUUAAGUAUUUCUGCACAAUAUUGUCUUGUUUUGACAAGUGAUAGUCGCACAUAGAGGGCAGUCUCUUGCAAGCCUUUCAAAGCAAGAUGCAAGUAAACACAUAUGCUCGAACAGAGAACUUAAAUUGCAUUUGCUUACUUUGACAAGUUUAAUGGCUUCAUCCUACGUAUGGAUGGAAGCAGUACUUUAGUUAUUAUCUGCCUGCUAAUUUUAAGAAAGAUCUUUUAUAUGUUUAAAUUUGCAGAAAUGGUUGCAUAUCAGAAAGACCUUCUCAAGAGUUGCUCUCUCAAGGAAGUAUGAAACCAUCCUCCAUACACUCACAAAGAACCAGGGUAUAUGUACAAUGUAACACUUGGCCAAGCACUCAGGGUAGCAAGCCAACACAAAUAAGAGAUUCGAAUGUAAUAUCGUAACGAGAAAGAAUUGCACAACUCCAAGGUGAAUGAGUAGGACCAGUCAUUGUGUCACGGUAAAACAGGAAUCUUUCUUGAAUUUGAAUGUGGAAAGAUCUGAUCAUUGUCCUUUUCCAUGGAUCCGAAUUUUAUCUGACCUUAAGUUUAAAGAUCUCAGCCGAUAACCUUAAUGAUCCAUGGUUUGACAUGAAUCUAUUACAGUAAGUCAGAACAAGAAUCUGUCUUGAGGAAUUUGCUAACUGAGGGUAGUAGCACUAAAACCAUUUUCCAAUAGAGGUCCUAGAAUUACACUUAAAUUAGGGAUAUGAAGAACCUCACAUGUAAAAUUUAAUGGCAGCAAGGUAAUACUUUUUGAACAGCAUAGAAGUCUACUCGGAGAAACUCAAAUUCAACGGAUGUUUCUGCAUGCUGAUUGAAUUUUCUAAGCUUCAUGAAGUCAUCUGCCUAACUCUUGACUGGGAUCAGAAUAGAGAACGAAGACAAACAGGUGUAUGGUCUUGAUUUAUGCCCAAUCUGCAACUCCAAAAUCUUGUUGAAAUUCUAGACUAUGAGGAAUAAUAUUAAAAAAAACAUAGUUACGAUAUUAUCAUUAGUCUCUCCAGUUGUGUGAUUUUGAAAUGAUCGUCGCUACCAAAAUGUUGAGAUUGACUACCGCAUAACAGAAAGUUAUCGCUAAAAUAAUUAGAAGCUAAUAUCAAAUGUUUUAAUCCCAGAUCAUCAUUUAUUAUUUUGAACAUAGAUUUCAAUAUGGCCAAUCAAUUUUUGUAUAAUUGCUAGUUCUUUCCACUAAUUAAGUCAUAAGAUAAUUGCUUUGCACAGUGAUUUUAGGAGAAUUGUAAUAUAAUAUUUUGUUAAUAAGCGCAUUUGUGAUAUUAAGAAAUGUUAGAAAGUGAUUCCUGAAAACAGUGUGGUUGAAAAACACUCCACCCAAAAGGAUAAUUCAUGUCUGUUUCUUUUUUAUAUCUUAGAUAGAGGUAAUCCACGAAUUGGACACUAGAGGAACGACAUGUAAGGUUGAUCUUUAAAACAGUCAAGAUUUACAUCACCAGAAGAAUAAAAAAAAGGGCAAAAUACACUGUGUCCUCCAGUGGUUUAGCAUUUUUCACAUAACCCGCUUAUGAUUUCAAAAGUUACAUAUAACUCUCUUAUGGUUUCGAUUAAAGUAUUAAGGUGAAAAAAAUUUGCAUUCCACAACGGAGUCAACUAAAAUGUCAAAAUUAUCCCUAUGUAAAGUUAAAAAUUAUUUAUUUACUACAGGGGAUUCUAUAUAUAUUUAAAAAUCAUAAGGAGAUUAUAUGGUAAAACAAUAAAUCAUAAAGAAGUUAUAUGCUAAAAUAUAAAACCAUAUGGGGCUAGAGUGUCAUGCAUAUUAUAUUUAUAAAUUUUUGUCACUUCACCCAUUUUAGUUUUAAACAAGAAUAACUUAGAUAUUUUCAUGAGUUCGGUUAUAAAUGAUCAUUUCUAUCGCUUUGACACUUUAAUUCAAAUUAUGAGAGGUUAUAUAUAGUUUUUAAAACUAUAGGUGGGUCAUGUGAAAAUUUGCUAAAUCACAUGAUAAUAAAGUGUAUUUUGCCAAAUAAAAAAUGAGGGAUGAGAGCUGACUGAAAUUAUGCAGAAGGAUAACGGCUAGAUCAGCAUCUUUGAAUCAUUCCUAGCUAGUAUACAAGAUAACCAUCAAAAUCUCUGAAAUUUCUUAUGUAGAAAAUUGGUGAAGAAGAUUAACGUGUACACGCAAGUUAAUAGCAGCCAAUCACCCUUUGUAAACCGCCAGCUGUGGCAUCUUGAAAACACAAUAGCUACUAGUUCACUUUGAAAGUUAGAAACACCAUGAAGUUCAACUACACCUUGUCCCUUUUAGUUUCGUGCUUCAUUUUAUACUUAACCUUCACCAAUGCUGCAAAUUUCAACAUUAUAAACCAAUGUACCUACACAGUUUGGGCAGCUGCUUCCCCAGGGGGUGGCAGGCGGCUCGACCGAGGCCAAUCGUGGUCCCUAGAUGUGGCUCCUGGCACCACCAACGCUCGCAUUUGGGGCCGAACAAAUUGCAACUUUGAUGCCAAUGGCCAAGGCCAGUGUCAGACAGGUGAUUGCAACGGGCGCCUCGAAUGCCAAGGCUAUGGAAAGCCUCCGAAUACGCUAGCUGAAUUCGUCCUAAACCAGCCUAACAACUUAGACUACUUCGACAUUUCCCUCCUUUAUGGAUUCAACAUCCCAUUGGAGUUCAGCUCCGUUACUCCUUGCCAUGAUAUCAGAUGUUCAGCGCCUAUUGUUGAUCAAUGCCC